UGGGGAAUAUUGGACAAUGGGCGAAAGCCUGACCCAGCAACGCCGCGUGAAGGAUGAAGUAUUUCGGUAUGUAAACUUCGUAAGAAUAGGAAGAAUAAAUGACGGUACUAUUUGUAAGGUCCGGCUAACUACGUGCCAGCAGCCGCGGUAAUACGUAGGGACCAAGCGUUGUUCGGAUUUACUGGGCGUAAAGGGCGCGUAGGCGGUGUGUCAAGUCAGUUGUGAAAUCUCCGAGCUUAACUCGGAACGGUCAACUGAUACUGUCACACUAGAGUACAGAAGGGGCAAUCGGAAUUCUUGGUGUAGCGGUGAAAUGCGUAGAUAUCAAGAGGAACACCUGAGGCGAAGGCGGGUUGCUGGGCUGAUACUGACGCUGAGGCGCGAAAGCUAGGGUAGCAAACGGGAUUAGAUACCCCCGUAGUCCCUGAGCGGGCUGGCAAGGCGC
rnacentral:rRNA from 1 species